rnacentral:rRNA from 1 species
AUGGCUCUUUGUAAAUUUUAAAUAAAGAGUCUGACCUGCCCAGUGAAAAUUUUCAACGGCCGCGGUACUCUGACCGUGCGAAGGUAGCAUAAUCAUUUGUCUUAUAAUUGAAGUCUAGUAUGAAUGGUUUAACAAGGGUGUGACUGUCUCUUUUCAAUUUUAUAAAAAUUUAUUUUUAAGUUAAAAAGCUUAAAUUUAAUAAAAAGACAAGAAGACCCUAUCGAGCUUUAAAGUAAUAAUUAGAAUUGUAAUAUUUAUUAAAAUUAAAGCUAUUUAAAAUUUUGGUUGGGGCGACUGAGGAACAAAAAAAGCUUCCUAAUAUAAAUGUGUUCUAGCAAGAUUUGAUCCAGUAUAUCUGAUUAAAGAAAUUAGUUACCGUAGGGAUAACAGCAUAAUCUUUUUUGAGAGUUCAAAUCGAAAAAAAGGUUUGUGACCUCGAUGUUGGACCAGAAUAUCCCAAGGAUGAAGCAGUCCUUAAAGGUUGGUCUGUUCGACCAUUAAAAUUCUACGUGAUCUGAGUUAAGACCGGCGUGAGCCAGGUCAGUUUCUAUCUUUUAUUUAAUAAAUAAGAUUAGUACGAAAGGACCAUUUUAUUAUAUAAUUAUAUAGUUUAAGAUAAAAUAUAACAGUAAUAUAAUCAGGUUAGUAUAAUAAAUACAACUAAUUUAG